AUGUUUCCGGAAACCCAGGGUUCCAGCCAGAAAGAAGACCCCCGGCUGGGGCGGAGGCCUGGGUUCUGUCCUGCUGGCUUCAUAGCACACCGAGUUAAUUUAUUUGUUCUGACUUGUGCCUUCGAAGCAGGGUUUCAUCAGCCAACAUGUUUUCCAUUUACCCUGUUCCUCGGGCCGCGGACCUGGCGCUGGUUCCCUGAGGGAGGGCUUCCCAGCCCCGGAGCCCGGGCGGCGGUCCUGGGCGGUGAGAGGGGGCAGAUUUUCCUAGUCUGCUUCCUGCUGCCCCUGUCGCCCCCUUUCACCCCUCGUUGGCUCCAACCUCCGCCACCUCAGCAGGUGCCCCUGACUUGCACACCCCUGGGGGCUGCACCCAUGCGGUCUCCUCCACCCCUGUUGCCGCGAGCAGUGUCCCCCUUGGUUGGCUGUGUGUGGGUGCAGAGUGGAGGCAGAGGCCUGGGGAGGCAGCGAAGUGUGUGGAGGAGCCCAGAAAGUGGGGCAGGGGCCGAGCCUCCUCCUGGGCUGCAGACCCACAGGGUCACAGGGCCUCUCCCAUGCUCCCCCCCGGCCCCGCCCGUCCAUGGCAUCCCCGGGGGUGGCUCAGGGGAGGGCCGCAGCAGCCCUGGAUACAGCUCAGUCUCCUGCCGGGAACCUGAAGUCGCCACCGCUCUGGAUGUAUGGGGAGACCGGGGCCCUGGGAGUCGCCUGCUUGCAGUUGGGCCAUUCGCUGAGGUCUGUUCUGCACCAAGACAAAACAAAGCCGUGGCCUCCCGCCCGCCGCGAUGCCAGAGUGUACCUUCAGGAAGCCCCAGGGGUCCCUGCGGCCCGGCCCCCUCCUGCCCACGCCCGUCUCCCUCUGCCUCUCCCCUGCAGGUCACACGCCAGCACACAGCGGGGCCUGCCCUGUCACGGGCACACCGCCCUGUUCCCCACCAGUGCCCACCUGACCUGAGCAGACCUCGCCCCUUGUCAGCUGCCGUCCUCUGCCCAGGGCCCCACUGCAAGGCACAGCCGUGGGCCCGGGGCACAGCACGGAGCUGGGCCUAG
rnacentral:lncRNA from 1 species